CUUCGUUCUCUCCAGCAGCAGUUUCCCAGCAUGGGUGUUUUCUUGAGAAGUUUCGGUGGUUGAUGAUUUGUUACCUUGGUGCCCCGUCACUCUCUCCAGUGGGUCAUAUCCCCAGACUUUAUUUGUCUCCUCAGCACAAAUAACUGAUUGAUUGGUACUUCCCUCGGAGUCGCGAGUAGAACUGUUAUUAAUAUCCCCACCAGGGUUGCAAGUGGAGUUGUU
rnacentral:lncRNA from 1 species